rnacentral:lncRNA from 1 species
UAUCAGCAGGGUUAUGGAUUUAAACCUGGAAGGGACAGAGUGGAAAUCCACUGUGAGAAGGUAAGAGUAGUGUUAGUAGAAGUCUACGAAAGCCAUGCUUAUAUUUACUUGAGAGAGGAUUCAGUCACUGGGGUUAACAAUUCAUGUAAACAGAAGCUCCAGAGGAUAGGUUUAUUCCAAUGUGGCCUAGAGAGCAUCAUUCAACAAUCCACAAACCUUUUGACAUUUCUGGGCACUGAAUCUACAAAGACAAAAAAAAAAAAAAAAAAAAAAAAACCUUUAUGUUUUAUCUUAGAAUUGAUAACUAAAUAUCAGUUCCAAGGCAGAAGUAUGGUAAGGGCUUGGCAACUGGGGUUAAGUGACUUGCCCCAGGUUGCACAGCUAAGAAGUGUAAGUUGAGAUUUGAGCCCCAUUUCUAGGCCUGGCUCCCUAUCCACCAAACUACCUACCUGCCCUGAGAAAGACUUUCAAACACAAAGGUGCAAAGGAAAGAAAGUUUGAAUAGCACAGGACUAUCUUGAAGCCAACAGAAAUUGCAGAAAGAAAUGGGAAAAUGUAUUUAUUCCAAAGAGUAAAAGAAUUUAAGAUACAACCAGGAUGACAUACCUAGUAACCUGAGAUUAACUAUUAACAACUUUUUUUAUUUAAACGAUGAGGGCAUCAAGGUGACAAAGAAGCCUGGCGCAUCAUAGGUUAAAUCUUAUAACACAUUGCUUAUUGAUGAAUUCAUUUUGGGAGCUGGGAGUAGGAGAAGAGCUCAAUUACAGAAUGGAGGAUAUGUAAAAGGAGAGGAAGGAAGAAGGAAAUAGAGUUAAUAUGUUAUACACUCUAAUCAAGUUUGUUAAGCUUUGAGUUGACCAAGUGUCGAAAGAUUAAGGUUCUAGUCACAGUUCUGCUAUUCAUGGUGUAUCUGAGACUCUUUACAAACACUAAAGCAUUUUAAAUGAUAUUUUAAUACCAUUUAAACCCAUCUCACAGCCUUUGUAAGAUGACCAACCUAGAGCUGAAAGGGGCCUCAAAGAGUAUCCAACCCCCUCAUUUUAUAAUUGUUUUGUUGCCAAAUAAGAGAAUGUUUGAAAAAAAUAGAAGCAGUCCAUGUGUUAUUAUUCACAAAUAAUUUUAUACGUAUUUCCCCAGCUGGCUCUCCUAGUAUCUUUGGAAGUAGAUACAUAAGUAGGAUUACCUCCAUUUUUUAGUUGAGAAAACCGAAGCCCAGACAAGUUGUCAGUGGUUACCCAGCUAGGAUGGAUCUCUGGUAGGAUUCUAGGUCACAUCUUUCUUCACUCCAAGUCCUGUGAAGUGCAUUACACCAAGCAGCCCUUCCCUAGCUCAUAUUCAUAAGAUUGUCUCCUGUGCUAAAAAAAAAAAAAAGAAAUCAUUCAGAAAAGAAAUACCAUAU